AGUGAACGCUGGCGGUAGGCCUAACACAUGCAAGUCGAACGGCAGCACAGUAAGAGCUUGCUCUUACGGGUGGCGAGUGGCGGACGGGUGAGGAAUACAUCGGAAUCUACUUUUUCGUGGGGGAUAACGUAGGGAAACUUACGCUAAUACCGCAUACGACCUACGGGUGAAAGCAGGGGAUCUUCGGACCUUGCGCGAUUGAAUGAGCCGAUGUCGGAUUAGCUAGUUGGCGGGGUAAAGGCCCACCAAGGCGACGAUCCGUAGCUGGUCUGAGAGGAUGAACAGGCAAAACUGAAAUGGGAAAAGGUCCAGACUCCUAAGGGAGGCAGCAGUGGGGAAUAUUGGACAAUGGGCGCAAGCCUGAUCCAGCCAUACCGCGUGGGUGAAGAAGGCCUUCGGGUUGUAAAGCCCUUUUGUUGGGAAAGAAAAGCAGCAGGUUAAUACCCCGCUGUUCUGACGGUACCCAAAGAAUAAGCACCGGCUAACUUCGUG
rnacentral:rRNA from 1 species